rnacentral:rRNA from 1 species
UGAGGAAUAUUGGUCAAUGGACGCAAGUCUGAACCAGCCAAGUAGCGUGCAGGAUGACGGCCCUAUGGGUUGUAAACUGCUUUUAUAUGGGGAUAAAGUGGGGAACGUGUUCCCUUUUGCAGGUACCAUAAGAAUAAGGACCGGCUAAUUCCGUGCCAGCAGCCGCGGUAAUACGGAAGGUUCGGGCGUUAUCCGGAUUUAUUGGGUUUAAAGGGAGCGUAGGCCGUUUGGUAAGCGUGUUGUGAAAUGUAGGAGCUCAACUUCUAGAUUGCAGCGCGAACUGUCAGACUUGAGUGCGCACAACGUAGGCGGAAUUCAUGGUGUAGCGGUGAAAUGCUUAGAUAUCAUGAAGAACUCCGAUUGCGAAGGCAGCUUACGGGAGCGCAACUGACGCUGAAGCUCGAAGGUGCGGGUAUCGAACAGG